rnacentral:rRNA from 1 species
GACGAACGCUGGCGGCGUGCUUAACACAUGCAAGUCGAACGAUGAAGCCGGAGCUUGCUCUGGUGGAUUAGUGGCGAACGGGUGAGUAACACGUGAGUAACCUGCCCUUGACUCUGGGAUAAGCGUUGGAAACGACGUCUAAUACCGGAUACGAGCUAGGACCGCAUGGUCACUAGCUGGAAAGAAUUUCGGUCAAGGAUGGACUCGCGGCCUAUCAGCUAGUUGGUGAGGUAACGGCUCACCAAGGCGACGACGGGUAGCCGGCCUGAGAGGGUGACCGGCCACACUGGGACUGAGACACGGCCCAGACUCCUACGGGAGGCAGCAGUGGGGAAUAUUGCACAAUGGGCGCAAGCCUGAUGCAGCAACGCCGCGUGAGGGACGACGGCCUUCGGGUUGUAAACCUCUUUUAGCAGGGAAGAAGCGCAAGUGACGGUACCUGCAGAAAAAGCACCGGCUAACUACGUGCCAGCAGCCGCCGCCGUAA